UACAGAGGUCUCAAGCGUUGUUCGGAUUCAUUGGGCGUAAAGGGUGCGUAGGUGGCGCGCUAAGUCAGGUGUGAAAUUUCGGAGCUUAACUCCGAAACUGCAUUUGAUACUGGCGUGCUUGAGGACUGGAGAGGAGACUGGAAUUCAUGGUGUAGCAGUGAAAUGCGCAGAUAUCAGGAGGAACACCGGUGGCGAAGGCGGGUCUCUGGGCCGAUACUGACGCUGGAGGAGCGAAAGCCGUGGGGAGCGAACAGG
rnacentral:rRNA from 1 species